UACGUAGGGUGCAAGCGUUGUCCGGAAUUAUUGGGCGUAAAGAGCUCGUAGGCGGUUUGUUGCGUCGGCUGUGAAAUCCCGAGGCUCAACCUCGGGUCUGCAGUCGAUACGAGCAAAACUAGAGUGUUGCAGGGGGAGACUGGAAUUCCUGGUGUAGCGGUGAAAUGCGCAGAUAUCAGGGAGGGAACACCGGGUGGCGAAGGCGGGUCUCUGGGCAACAACUGACGCUGGAGGAGCGAAAGCCGUGGGGAGCGAACAGG
rnacentral:rRNA from 1 species